GAAAAUACUUCUAAAGCAAAUAAUUAUUUUUAUAAACCAUAAAAAACAUGCUAUACCAGCAGAAUAAAGAAGUUAAGAAAAAAAUAAAAAAAUAUUGGAACCCACAGGUUGAAGCAGGUUGGCAGAGGUAGCCAGGCAUCAUGGCGGCCCUUGUCAGUGGAGAGAACGGCCGCUAUUUUGCCUGUUAUUCUUCCAUCGUAACUAAAUGAGGCAAUGGCAGAUAUAUCUAGAUAGCGGAUAUGAAAGCCUAGUUAUGUGGCUCCACUUAGUGACGUGUUAGACUUACAAUAAGUGAGAAAUGAAGCAGAUAUUGGCGGACAAAUGGGGAAGGCUGCCUCCACCUCAGCUGAUAACAUUAAGUAUAGUAAUUGACGAACACAACACACCACGUGGAGAGAAGCAAGGUGUGGAGUACCCAAGCCUCUCACAGUCCAUGCUAGUAGACUCACCCUGCAUGUGGAAAUCUCCCAAAAUGCACGGAGGUUAUUCCAGAGCUGCAGGACAGAGUACUUGAGGCCAUUGGUGAACAGAAAGCUGAGGUUGAACAAAGCCAAGAAUUGAUAGCUGCCCAAGGUGUAAGCAAGAUUCACAAUGAUGAGGUCAUUGUGACGUGUGCAAUGUGUCCACUGGUCUUGGCCUUCCUGACCAAGGCAGCCACACAAAGGAAAUUCCACGUUAUUGUUGCCGAACGUGCCCCUAAAUAUGAUGGUCACCCAGUGGCAAAAGCUUUAUGUACUGCUGGAAUUGAGACAACAUUAAUUCAAGACUCUGCAGUGUUCCCCAUCAUGUCACGUGUCAACAAGGUCAUCAAAGGUCAUCGUUGGCACCGAGACGGUGGUGACCAACGGAGGCAUUGAGACCUUUGUUGGUGCAGCCUCUCUUGCCUCACCACCAAAGUUUUAUUCUGUUCCACUGUAUGUGUGCACUCCCACAUACAAAUUUAGCUUGAUGGGCUGUGAAGAAAUAAGCCACCAAACCACCACUUCUAUUAUCCCAGAGGGAACAAAGUUUUGGCCGUCUGUAAAUACUGCGCUGGCUCAGCUAGAUUACGUUCCUCCAGAAAAUGUCACCAGUUUGAUAACUAACAAUCGAGGUACUGCACCAUCCUACGUGUACCGGCAGCUUAGCGAACUGUACCGUCCCACUUCUUGUGAUCUCUAAGGUAACAGCUUUAAUCCUUGCAAAUAAGGAAUAAGAGAAAAGAGACACACCUGCCAUUUGUACUGUUAUGCUGUAGUGUUCUGUCAUUUUUUUCCUCUUUUAUCCUAGAACCGUUUUUGGUCAUUCAUGUUUCUAAAAAUUAUUAUACAAAAAUGUUGAGCUUAAUAUGUUUGGUGUAGUUUUUUGUAACAUGUGUUAUUAUUGUUAAUGUGUGUGGUUCCCCUCAGGAAGAAUGUUGCAGUAUUAGCAGUAAUGUUACAGCCAAUGGAAGUGUCUGUAUUGUGCUUUGGUGGGAGGUUAAUUUGAUGUAUUUUUAGAGUUGUGCAGGAUAUUAUAGCAAGCCCUCAAAAUAAAGAAAAUAACUAUAGAAAA